ACAUGCAUAAAAAAAAUUUUUUUUCAGGAGUUCAAAUAUCAUUAGGAAGUUGUAGCGAACUAACAUUAGUAACUUUACCAAACUGCCUGUGUGUCAGAAGUGCUACGUGUAUAUUAUAAAAUAAUAAUAAUUCUAUAUUCAUAAUGUGUGUGAAAUUACUUUUAAUUCGCAGUUAUUUUGAGUAAAAAAUGAUGGCUGUUACCUAUUAAAUUAAAUAAUGUAAAAAAGCUAUAAUUAACAAAAUGCCAUAACAAUAAGAACUUGCUUUUUAAAUUGAUGCCUUUAUUAUGAACCAUCUACAUGCAUGUAUCUCACCACUAUUAUGUUGUAAUGUUUAUGUGACAACUGUGUUUUUUUUUCCCAGGCUUUUUGCUGACAUUAUUUACAUGCAAAUGGAACGGCCUGAAUGCAUACCGUCUGUCCAGUGCCCCUUUUAUAUUGUACUACUGAUAACUCGGUUAUUAAAGCAGUGCAAUGUUAAAAGGGCAUUGGCCAGGGAUUUUUCUCAAAGUUCCAGAAAACAGAAGCUGAUAUAGAAUAUGUGGAAAAGCGGCUGAAAUUUGACUUCAUGGCCAAUGCGCGAGGUACAUUUGUAUUCAUUUGUUAAUUUUAAAUUCUGAGUCUGUCUUUCUAAAUCUGUGAUUGUGUAUUUCAGGGAAACCCUGUUCAGUUGCUGGAGAACUUGUCUGCGAUCAAAGCGCGGCAUGCAGCCCUGUGCGCACAGGUAGAGGAGGUCGAGGUGGAACAGAAACGAUUCAUGGACUCAAUACAAGCUCACCUGGACACCACAGUGCAGAUGGUUAACCAGCUAUAGAGCACAGCAGAUGUGCAGGCCGUGCUGACAGAAGAACCUCAAACUCAAUUUUUUUUUUUUUUUCUUGCAGCACAGAAUAUGCGUGAAGAGGUGUCUGAGGGGACAUUUGAGACUGUCCCGCAGAGUGUACGUGGUAACUUGAAACUGAAUGACCUCAACACGUUCUAUAAGCAGUUAUCCGAGCACUUCUCAGAUAAGAACAGAGGGCCAAUAAGCACUCAGAGGAGGAAGAAGCUGAAGAUGAAAGUCAGUGAUUCUGCAUUGAAGACCUUACAGCACCUUAAACUCAUUGAGCUGGAUAAAAAAGGCCUUGUCAUUGCUGGCAAAAGACUGAGAAACGGGGACCCAAAUAAGACGCACAAACCCCACCAAAACAUGUAAAUCCUCCAGUUCCUUCCACCAGUGUUCUAAAGUAAAACCCUUCUUACAGUUUGAUUGGAUCGGCAGUUUAGAACAGGACUGACAGU